GCCGGGCGUGGUGGCUCAUGCCUGUAAUCCCAGCACUUUGGGAGGCCGAGGCAGGAGGAUUGCUUGAGCUCAGGAGUUCAAGACCAGCCUGGGCAACAUAGCAAGACCCUGUCUCUA
rnacentral:SRP_RNA from 1 species